UACGAAGGGGGCUAGCGUUGCUCGGAAUUACUGGGCGUAAAGGGCGCGUAGGCGGCACUGUUAGUCAGGCGUGAAAUUCCUGGGCUCAACCUGGGGACUGCGCUUGAUACGGCAGAGCUAGAGGAUGGAAGAGGCUCGCGGAAUUCCCAGUGUAGAGGUGAAAUUCGUAGAUAUUGGGAGGAACACCGGUGGCGAAGGCGACCAUCUGGACCGACAUUGACACUAAAGUGCGAAAGCGUGGGUAGCAAACAGG
rnacentral:rRNA from 1 species